rnacentral:rRNA from 1 species
GACGAACGCUGGCGGCGUGCUUAACACAUGCAAGUCGAACGGAAAGGCCCUGCUUUUGUUGGGUGCUCGAGUGGCGAACGGGUGAGUAACACGUGAGUAACCUGCCCUUGACUUUGGGAUAACUUCAGGAAACUGGGGCUAAUACCGGAUAGGAGCUCCUGCUGCAUGUUGGGGGUUGGAAAGUUUCGGCGGUUGGGGAUGGACUCGCGGCUUAUCAGCUUGUUGGUGGGGUAGUUGCUUACCAAGGCUUUGACGGGUAGCCGGCCUGAGAGGGUGACCGGCCACAUUGGGACUGAGAUACGGCCCAGAAUGCUACGGGAGGCAGCAGUGGGGAAUAUUGCAAAAUGGGCGGAAGCCUGAUGCAGCAACGCCGCGUGCGGGAUGACGGCCUUCGGGUUGUAAACCGAUUUCGCCUGUGACGAAGCGGGAGUGACGGUAAUGGGUAAAGAAGCACCGGCUAACUACGUG